UGUAAGCGUAUACCAAAGUUGUUGCAGUUAAAACGCUCGUAGUCGGAAUUUGGCAGUUCCGGAUGUGUGCACGUCGUGUGCGCACUUCGCGGGGAUUGCUUUUGUGGUCUUGCGUAGGAUGAGGCACUUUUAUUAGUGAACGUCCUCACGCAACCACUUUUUACUGUGAGAAAAUCAGAGUGCUCAAAGCAGGCAUUUGCCGUGAAUGUAUUAGCAUGGAAUAAUAGAAUAGGACUUGGUUCUAUUUUGUUGGUUUGUUGGGACUGAGUAAUGAUUAAGAGGGACAGUUGGGGGCAUUUGUAUUUCGGUGCUAGAGGUGAAAUUCUUAGAUUACCGAAAGACAAACUGCUGCGAAAGUGUCUGCCAAGGAUGUUUUCAUUGA
rnacentral:rRNA from 1 species